rnacentral:rRNA from 1 species
UACGUAGGUGGCAAGCGUUAUCCGGAUUUACUGGGUGUAAAGGGCGUGUAGGCGGGCUGACAAGUCGGAUGUUUAAUUCCCGGGCUUAACCCGGGCGGGUCAUCCGAAACUGUCGGUCUUGAGUACUGGAGAGGAUAGUGGAAUUCCUAGUGUAGCGGUAAAAUGCGUAGAUAUUAGGAGGAACACCAGUGGCGAAGGCGGCUAUCUGGACAGUAACUGACGCUGAGGCGCGAAAGCGUGGGGAGCAAACAGG